rnacentral:rRNA from 1 species
AGCGAACGCUGGCGGCAGGCUUAACACAUGCAAGUCGAGCGGGCAUCCUUGUGGUGUCAGCGGCAGACGGGUGAGUAACGCGUGGGAACGUGCCCUUUGGUUCGGAAUAAAUCAGGGAAACUUGAGCUAAUACCGGAUACGUGCGAGAGCAGAAAGGUUUAUCUGCCGAAGGAUCGGCCCGCGUCUGAUUAGCUAGUUGGUGAGGUUAUGGCUCACCAAGGCGACGAUGAGUAGCUGGUUUGCUAGGAUGAUCAGCCACACCGGGACUGAGACACGGCCCAGACUCCUACGGAAGGCAGCAGUGGGGAAUAUUGGACAAUGAGGGCAACCCUGAUCCAGCCAUGCCGCGUGAGUGAUGACGGCCUUAGUGUUGUAAAGCUCUUUUCUCCGGGACGAUAAUGACGGUACCGGAUGAAUAAGCCCCGGCUAACUUCGUG